GUAGGGAAUAUUGGGCAAUGGAUGGAAGUCUGACCCAGCCAUGCCGCGUGUGUGAAGAAGGUCUUCGGAUUGUAAAGCACUUUAAGUUGGGAGGAAGGGCAGUAAGUUAAUACCUUGCUGUUUUGACGUUACCGACAGAAUAAGCACCGGCUAACUUCGUGCCAGCAGCCGCGGUAAUACGAAGGGUGCAAGCGUUAAUCGGAAUUACUGGGCGUAAAGCGCGCGUAGGUGGUUUUGUAAGUUGGAGGUGAAAUCCCCGGGCUCAACCUGGGAACUGCCUCCAAAACUGCAUGACUAGAGUACGGUAGAGGGUAGUGGAAUUUCCUGUGUAGCGGUGAAAUGCGUAGAUAUAGGAAGGAACACCAGUGGCGAAGGCGACUACCUGGACUGAUACUGACACUGAGGUGCGAAAGCGUGGGGAGCAAACAGGAUUAGAUACCCCUGUAGUCC
rnacentral:rRNA from 1 species